rnacentral:rRNA from 1 species
CCUACGGGGGGCAGCAGUGGGGAAUAUUGGACAAUGGGGGGAACCCUGAUCCAGCCAUGCCGCGUGUGUGAAGAAGGCCCUCGGGUUGUAAAGCACUUCCAGUGAGGAAGAACGCCUGGUGGUUAAUACCCAUCAGGAAAGACAUCACUCACAGAAGAAGCACCGGCUAACUCCGUGCCAGCAGCCGCGGUAAUACGGAGGGUGCGAGCGUUAAUCGGAAUUACUGGGCGUAAAGCGCGCGUAGGUGGCUUGAUAAGCCGGUUGUGAAAGCCCCGGGCUCAACCUGGGAACGGCAUCCGGAACUGUCAAGCUAGAGUGCAGGAGAGGAAGGUAGAAUUACCGGUGUAGCGGUGAAAUGCGUAGAGAUCGGGAGGAAUACCAGUGGCGAAGGCGGCCUUCUGGACUGACACUGACACUGAGGUGCGAAAGCGUGGGUAGCAAACAGGAUUAGAUACCCCAGUAGUC